GGAGGUGCAUGGCCGUCGUCAGUUCGUACUGUGAAGCAUCCUGUUAAGUCAGGCACGAGCGAGACCCACGCCAACAGUUGCCAGCAUGUCCUCCGGGGAUGGUGGGGGACACUGUUGGGACCGCCUCUGCUAAAGAGGAGGAAGGAAUGGGGCAACGGUAGGUCAGCAUGCCCCGAAUUAUCCGGGCUACACGCGGGCUACAAUGGUCAGGACAAUGGGCAUCAACACCGAAAGGUGAAGGCAAUCUCUUAAACCUGUCCUUAGUUCGGAUUGUGGGCUGCAACUCGCCCACAUGAAGCUGGAAUCUGUAGUAAUCGCGUCUCAAAAUGGCGCGGUGAAUAUGUCCCUGCUCCUU
rnacentral:rRNA from 1 species